rnacentral:rRNA from 1 species
UACGUAGGGUGCGAGCGUUAAUCGGAAUUACUGGGCGUAAAGCGUGCGCAGGCGGUUCGACAAGUCUGAUGUGAAAGCCCCGGGCUCAACCUGGGAAUGGCAUUGGAAACUGGCGAGCUAGAGUGUGGCAGAGGGGGGUGGAAUUCCGCGUGUAGCAGUGAAAUGCGUAGAGAUGUGGAGGAACACCGAUGGCGAAGGCAGCCCCCUGGGAUGAGACUGACGCUCAUGUACGAAAGCGUGGGGAGCAAACAGG